rnacentral:antisense_RNA from 1 species
CUUCACCGAUCCCAGCCACAGGGGCUCGCCGCGGUCCUGGCCGUAGGUCGCGAGCAGGGCCUGCGCCUC